rnacentral:rRNA from 1 species
UACGUAGGGCGCAAGCGUUAAUCGGAAUUACUGGGCGUAAAGGGUGCGUAGGCGGUUCGUUAAGUCUGUUGUGAAAUCCCCGGGCUCAACCUGGGAAUGGCAAUGGAUACUGGCGGGCUAGAGUGUGUCAGAGGAUGGUGGAAUUCCCGGUGUAGCGGUGAAAUGCGUAGAGAUCGGGAGGAACAUCAGUGGCGAAGGCGACCAUCUGGGACAACACUGACGCUGAAGCACGAAAGCGUGGGGAGCAAACAGG